rnacentral:lncRNA from 1 species
GCUGUUCAGUUUUUUUCCUCCUGUAAUCCUAAAUCUUGGAAGGCAUUCCACAUCAGAAUAUUGAGCUUUUCCUCAUUAUUUUUAAUGGCUGUGUAGUAUUUCAUAGGAAUAUCUUAAUUUAUGUAGCCUGUUGACUGACAUUUGGGACGCCUCCUAUUCCUUGUUACUGUAGGCAUUAUGACAAACGAUGUGAUAUUACCUUGUAUAUACAUCUUUGUGUACUUUGGGCAUCAUGGGCACACACAGAAGUGGGUCUGCGGGACAAAUUCCUAGAAGUAGAAGUGCUGGUCUCUUGGCUAAUGUUAUUAAUAUUAUCGGUGUCUAAGAAGGCUGAUGUUGGAUCCACUCUUCCCUUCCACAGGCAGGUAGCAGCUAUCCAUCUGACCGUAGAGAUCCAUAGCUAGACCUUUUGUGAGUAAGAAGUCAUUUAAGCCCUGGUACUGACAUCUUGGAAGGUUCUAGAACACCUCAGCUACCUCACCUCUCCUCUCCCUGUCUGCAUCAGCAUGUGACUUCUUUCCCGCAAAAUGGGUCCGUUGAGAUGGUGUCUUAGCCUGGGUUCCUUAGAAAACAGAUCCUGAGGCACAGUUCAUGUACUAGCACUAGGUGGGAGCGGAUAUUCCCAGGGGAGCAGGAGUGCUGGGAAAAGGGGUGUGAACCCAGGAAAGAGGAAGCAUAGAUGUGAGAGCAGGCAUCACAGUGCUGGCCACAGCUUUUGCAAGCACAGUGGCUUCCUCUGCCUCAUGGGAUAUUUUUGGGAAGGUGGAUAAAGCUUCUGCAUCUCUGAGCUUCUGGGGGGGGGGUGGUAUGGGAGGAGGGCAGCGAGGGGGGAGAGUUGUUUGCAGGCUGCUGAAGUCUCUCAUUAGUCAACGUUUGCCCCUGAGGAUAUCAAGUCCUUCUCUCUUAGGAGCUGAGCAGCCAGACUCCUCCAGCCAUUACCGCCAACAGCCUCUGCGACCCACAGGAGCCUGCAGAGGCCCCAUCGUGUGCAGCCGAGGACUUGGGAGGGGCUCCACAGCCACAGAGAAGCCACAUAGCAGAGUGCAGAAGCAUGGAUGCUGGCAUGAGGCCGGGUCCUGUUUCAUGCCCUCCCAUGACCUGGAGGACCGGGAGCAGCCCGAGAGCAAGUCACUGCAAGCAUUCUGGCCGGAAAACAAGGCAAGGAUAGGAAAAGGAAAUGCCGCUUAAAUCAUUGUAGUAGAAAGAAAUAUUAUCAUCUGAUCUUCAUUGUUCCCCAAGUAGUACAAAGUGAAAAUCUUGUGGCCUUACUUUAGAUCAUCUAUGGAAGUAUAAUGUCAAGUAUAAGGUCCCCAGUAAAUACAGUGCUGUGUUAAUGACAUUAAAAGUUUAAAAUGGGGACGCCUGGGUGGCUCAGUUGGUUAAGCAGCUGCCUUUGGCUCAGGUCGUGAUCCCAGCGUCCUGGGAUCGAGUCCCACAUCAGGCUCCUUGCUCCGCAGGGAGCCUGCCUCUCCCUCUGACUCUGCCUGCCACUCUGUCUGCCUGUGCUCGCUCUCGCUCACUCUCUCUCUGACAAAUAAAUAAACUCUUUAAAAAAAAGUUUAAAAUGACCAAAAUUUUUUUAAAAAAUUUUUAUUUUUUA